rnacentral:rRNA from 1 species
UAGAUACCCUAUUAUAAAAAUUUAAAUUAAUUUACUAAAAAAUUAAUAGUUAUGUUCUUUAAAUUUAAAAAAUUUGGCGGUAUUUUAGUCUUAUUAGAGGAACCUGUUUAUUAAUUGAUAAUCCACGAUUAAUUUUACUUAUUUUUGUAAUUCAUAUAUCGCUGUCAUGAAUAUAUUUAAAAAUUUAUUUUCUUUAUUUAUUUUUAUAAUUUAUGUUAAGUCAAGAUGUGGUUUAUAAAUAAGUAUAUAAUGGGUUACAUUAAAUUUUAUUUAUGGAUUAAAAAUGAAAAUUAAAAUGAAAUUGGAUUUAAUAGUAAAUUUAUUUAUUUAA